GACGAACGCUGGCGGCGUGCUUAACACAUGCAAGUCGAACGAAGGGCGAUGGAAGCUUGCUUCUAUCAAUCUUAGUGGCGAACGGGUGAGUAACGCGUAAUCAACCUGCCCUUCAGAGGGGGACAACAGUUGGAAACGACUGCUAAUACCGCAUACGAUCUAAUCUCGGCAUCGAGGAUAGAUGAAAGGUGGCCUCUACAUGUAAGCUAUCACUGAAGGAGGGGAUUGCGUCUGAUUAGCUAGUUGGAGGGGUAACGGCCCACCAAGGCGAUGAUCAGUGGCCGGUCUGAGAGGAUGAACGGCCACAUUGGGACUGAGACACGGCACAGACUCCUACGGGAGGCAGCAGUGGGGAAUCUUCCGCAAUGGACGAAAGUCUGACGGAGCAACGCCGCGUGAGUGAUGACGGCCUUCGGGUUGUAAAGCUCUGUUAAUCGGGACGAAAGGCCUUCUUGCGAAUAGUGAGAAGGAUUGACGGUACCGGAAUAGAAAGCCACGGCUAACUACGUG
rnacentral:rRNA from 1 species